CAGCUUGCAAAGACCCUGACACUGUGGUUAGUGAGACACGAGGAGAACCAUGUAAAUGCAGAGAAUUUUCUAAUGUAAUUUGGAGGAGAGGAGACACUGGAAAAUGUCUGUUUGACAGCUGCAGUGUUUCCACCCUUGGCAGUGAGCAGUGCCCAGCACCCUUCCAGCCUGUGCCAUUUGGAGAACCAGUACAACGUUGUGUGUGCCAAAUUUAUGAAACCAAAGCAAAUGGAUCAAUGUUAUAUAGAAGAUGAUGCAUCUGUUCCCAAACUGGAUCAAGUAGCAGAAGGAUAAGACAGAAAUGCUGCUGGUGUUGUAGUACUCUUCAAACAAACCAAACACCACAAAAGCCCUGAUGAGAUGACUGUCCCUGUGCUGGAGCUCUAGCACCUUUGCGUGCCUCUCUUCACAGAAUCCAUGGGGCAGAGGGCUCAAAGCCCUGUCAUACUCCUGCAGCCCUUUAGAAUAAGGAUCAAUUCCAACAGGCCUGAUGGGAAAUGUGAAUGAAAACCGUGAUUAUUAUUUUCAUUCUAACAUUUAAGCUGUAAGUUCUUAAAACCUAAAAAGUUUAUUCAUGUCCUUCCUUGAUCUGGAGGAGAUCGGAGAAAUUUGUAGUUUCAGCUGUAUCUGAGAACCUGAAAAAGCCUUUUUUUCUGGAACUAAACUGUUAUUCACAGUACAUGGAGCUCACAGUCUGGGGCUUCAUGGAAUAGAGACUCAGUUACUUGGUAUCUUUUAGCUUCUUGCUGGGAAAGGCUCCAUGCUCUGCGAAAAACCAAAUACAGGACAAGCACACAAUUCCUGAAAGGCUUAUGUGCUAGACUUGCAGCUCUGAACACUUGUUUUCUGUUAGAAUUUCAGGCCCUGGUAGAAUUCUGCCACUGUGGAUUAGUGCCUUGAGGUUUAGAAAUGAGGCCUUGAGAGAUCCAGCCUGGGUUGCUGCAUGUUUGAGAUCUCUGUUAAAGGGGCAGCUGGUAGCAUCCUGGGGGACCUCAUUUUCUCCAGUGUUUCCAGCCUUGAGGGGAGCCACAGAUGCUGACAGACGUGUCAGCAUUUAGCAAACAAUUCCUGCUUUAUUUCAUGCUCUUAAAUUAAGCCAAGUCACUAGAACCUGCACUUUUUACUUUUAUCAAGUGAAAAAGUGCAUGCUAACUGAUAAUCGAUUGAUAGACUUGUAAGAGCUGAUUGGGUGGUGGUUGGCUUUUUUUGUUGUUUUGGGGGUUUUUUUAUUUGCUUUGUUAGAAUAUUUAGAGUUCUUUAUCUUUGCCUUGGACUGGGAAAGUACCAAAGAAAAAUCAAUCAUUCAUUACGUUCUUGGCUUUUUGAUUAGGGAUGAAACAUCUUCAAAAGAGUUUAACAGAAAGCAAACACCCAGGAAUGUGCUUUCCAGCACAAUUUUUCAGUCUAUAACCUUGCUACUGUUAAUGAACUAUAUUUGGCACUUUUGUUAGCAAAGGAGUUUAACAGCUUAGCCAACUCUGUUAAAAUAAUUUUCUCAUCCUACACACACACAAAUGCUCAUGGCUAAGACACCUUCUCCAUGUCAAACUCAUAGUCUCUACAUGAAUGUUAUAGAAAAAAUAUUUUGGAAAUAAUUUUUUAUUGUAGUGAAAACAUAUCAUGUUCAUAUGUAUACACACACACACAAAUAAAAUAUCACUGUGUAUUCACUGAAACACCUCACACUAACCAAGCUUUAUCUCAGCUUGUGCACAGCAGAAUACCAUGAAAACCUGUGAUCCCAGCUGCCAUCCACUGCUGCACCCAGCAGGAGCAGCACCAAAUCUCCCAGGGCUGGCAGCUGAGCUGCACAGAAACACAUCCCAAGCUGCUGCCCACCCUGAGCCCAGCAAUCCUCUGCUCUGACCACAGGCCCUGGUGCUAUGGGAUGGCUCAGCCGUGCUGCUGCAGGGCCACAAGGAGUGGGCUGUGCCUCAAACUCUGGACCAGCUGCUCUCACAGCCCGUGGGCCUGCCAGUAGAACUCUGUCUCGUAACAUCUGGUCACAAUGUUCAGCAGCACCAUAAUAUUUCCUGCUGUCUGGCAUUAUUUGGCUUUCAGUGGUUUAUAUAAGCAUUUCUUUGACAGAUGUGUGGCUCUGAUACCCAUCCCCUGCCACUCAAGGCAAGAAGGUACUACACAAGUGAUCCAGUGAGGCUCUCCAGGACACACAGAAAAAUUGCAUUGAAAUAUUCUGUUGUUUAGCUAAGCUGCCUAAAGACAACCAAGUAAUUCUCACUGUCACUUAACUCUAGAAAGUAUCAGGUGGCUGUUGGCACAUGGGGGCCGAGAACUACAGAUGUUGUAGGAAUAAAUCACUUGGCCUUUUUUGCUAGCACAAGGUAAUGUGAUUGUAAUUGAUGCCCUAACCCUGACAGCUGUGUUAAUGACUUAAACAAGAGACCUGACUGAACAGAGCCCACACACAGCUUAACAUAUAGUCAGAAUUUUCUUCAUAACUUGAAGAUAAAAUUCCAUUUCUUUACUUGGAAGCCCCCCUCUCAAUUCAGCUAUUUCAAAAUGCUUUAGGCUUCUUCUGUUUAAGGGAUUCUAUGCUGAUUUCCAAUAAACUAAGAAUAAUUUCAGUUUUUCCCUUCCCCACAGGAAAGUGCUGACAUCUACCAAAUGUGCAUGGAUUGAAGUACCUGAUUUUGAAAGGGAACUCACGGCAGGCUACUGCCCAGUACAGUAAUUUCAAAUAUUAGUUGGCUGAAUUCAACACUGAGUAAACACUAAAUAUAAUAUAGAUAUAAAAGAAUGGGUACAAAUGCCAGCGUAGUAUUUCAUUAUUAAAACUAAUCAUCAUUCUAUUUCAACAACUAAAUCCAUUAUGAAAACAAGCGGGGAAGGAGACACACAACAAAUAAAUAAUGCAAUUAACUUACAAAAUAUGAAACAAAAUGUCUACAUACAAAAAAAAGAGUAAAAAUCAACAUUAGUCACUUAAGCUUCACAGAACAUUUGUACGAUAGAAGACCUUCUGUGCCCCAGCUUGUGUGUCUGCCAGAAUGAGCUGGAGAACCACCCAUCCUGGCUUUAAAGACACUGCAGUGUGCUGCAGAAGCACUGUCCUGCCUGGCCAAGGCUCCCUGUAUUCCAGGGAGAGCCCUCAGGGGGCUGCAGGCUCGGUGCUAUCCUCUGCUUUGCUAAUGCCAGGUAGCAAAAUGUACAUCAGGCAUCUGUACAGAAGAAAAACUUUUCCAGUGAGGUUUUGGUUGUGUCUGCUUUAAAAUUUCAUGAAUGCUUUAAAAUAAUGCUAACAUAACUCUAGCACAAUAGUUCUCC